rnacentral:rRNA from 1 species
UACAGAGGUCUCAAGCGUUGUUCGGAUUCAUUGGGCGUAAAGGGUGCGUAGGCGGCGCGGUAAGUCGGGUGUGAAAUCUUGGAGCUUAACUCCGAAACUGCAUUCGAUACUGCCGUGCUUGAGGACUGGAGAGGAGACUGGAAUUUACGGUGUAGCGGUGAAAUGCGUAGAUAUCGUAAGGAAGACCAGUGGCGAAGGCGGGUCUCUGGACAGUUCCUGACGCUGAGGCGCGAAAGCUAGGGGGAGCAAACGGG